rnacentral:rRNA from 1 species
ACGUAGGGAGCAAGCGUUGUCCGGAUUUAUUGGGCGUAAAGAGCUCGUAGGCGGUUUUGCAAGUCGGAUGUGAAAACUCAGGGCUCAACCCUGAGAUGCCAUCCGAUACUGCAAUGACUAGAGUCCGGUAGGGGAGCAUGGAAUUCCUGGUGUAGCGGUGGAAUGCGCAGAUAUCAGGAGGAACACCAAUGGCGAAGGCAGUGCUCUGGGCCGGUACUGACGCUGAGGAGCGAAAGCAUGGGGAGCAAACAGG